GAUGAACGCUGGCGGCGUGCUUAACACAUGCAAGUCGAACGGUGAAGGCGGAGCUUGCUCUGCUGGAUCAGUGGCGAACGGGUGAGUAACACGUGAGCAAUCUGCCCCUGACUCUGGGAUAAGCGCUGGAAACGGCGUCUAAUACUGGAUACGAGCUGCGAAGGCAUCUUCAGCAGCUGGAAAGAACUUCGGUCAGGGAUGAGCUCGCGGCCUAUCAGCUUGUUGGUGAGGUAACGGCUCACCAAGGCGUCGACGGGUAGCCGGCCUGAGAGGGUGACCGGCCACACUGGGACUGAGACACGGCCCAGACUCCUACGGGAGGCAGCAGUGGGGAAUAUUGCACAAUGGGCGAAAGCCUGAUGCAGCAACGCCGCGUGAGGGACGACGGCCUUCGGGUUGGAAACGUCUUUUAGCAGGGAAGAAGCGAAAGUGACGGUACCUGCAGAAAAAGCGCCGGCUAACUACGU
rnacentral:rRNA from 1 species